GUGAUAUGUGUGGCAGGGAAGCAAAAGACAAAGAACUACGUAUACAGUGUUGUGAAGCUUGUGACCUUCAAGAGUUCGACAAAGUCUUCUCUUUCACAUUUUGCUAGUUAAAUUUCAUCUCUCUCUCCUUUUUCUCGAUCUUUCGAGCUUUGCUUUUUCAGUUCUUUUCACUGAGUUAUAAAUCAUAAAUUUCUCUGACUGGUUAGUCAUGCAGGUUCCAGUAAUAAUAUGAUAUCUUCCGCUUUAAAUUUCUCCAUCUAUGGCAGAAGCUGUUAUAUGGUUUAAUUAAUUUGUUGUCUUCUUUCUCCUUUCAAUAUCUCAUUAAGAAGGCUUGUCGACUGACUGCUGUUGAUUUGUUUGACAAUAAAGCUUUGAAGAAACAAGAUCUCUUGCAAAAGAUCUUGCUAGUGCAGCUGAAAGAUGAAAGGGUUUGCAGUUAAGAAAACCCUAGACAUCGAUGUCUGUUCAGACCCCACAGCUUCUGACCACCAAGCCUGUCUCUCCUCAAUACCAAAACCAACCAGGAAGAGGAGGAUCCCAGGAACUCUAGAUCCAAACGCCGAGGUGAUAGCCUUAUCCCCAAAGAGCUUGCUAGCCACCAAUAAGUUUAUUUGUGAGGUUUGUGGGAAAGGAUUUCAAAGAGACCAAAACCUGCAGCUUCACAGAAGAGGCCACAACCUGCCAUGGAAGCUAAAGCAGAGACAGAACAAUGAGGUCGUGAGAAGAAAGGUCUAUAUCUGCCCAGAGCCAUCUUGUUCUAAUCACUUGCCUUCUCGAGCUCUGGGUGACCUCACAGGCAUCAAAAAGCACUUUUUUAGAAAGCAUGGAGAGAAGAGAUGGAGCUGUGAUAAGUGUUCUAAGAAAUAUGCAGUGCUCUCAGAUUGGAAGGCACAUUCAAAGAUCUGUGGAUCAAAAGAGUACAGAUGUGAAUGUGGAACCAUUGUCUCAAGGAGAGACAGCUUUAUCACACACAAAGCCUUCUGUGAAGUAUUGGCAUUAGAGAAAUACACAAGAACAAUGAGUGCAAACCAGAACCUGCUUCAUCUCCCUCAUCCCACAGACUUGCCCAACUUACACAUCAACAAUAGCUUCUUUUCACCUGGCUUAAGAUCAGAAAUCCCGCAAUGGCUACCAUCAAUACCUACAUCAUUCGGUCAUCAUCAAAUAAGCAAUCUCAAUCAUUCAGUCUACUCGUUAAAUAGUCCAAGUCAUUUCAAACCACCUCCUCUUCCGUCUGAUCCAAACUUUUCAGCUACUGCAUUGCUACAGAAGGCAGCGGAGAUAGAGUCCACUAUAAGCAGACCCUCAGAGCUGCAUUCAUGGCUUUCUUCAAAUAGUCAGGAAAUGAGUAAUGGUGUUUUUGAACUAGGUUCAUCAGUUUCUUCUCCUCUUCAGUUCCACCCAUUUCCUUCUUGUUCAGGAUUUGGUUCACCGUUUGAAGAGACAGUGGGAGGACAACUAAUUAUGAGUCCAAAGAGAGGGGAGAGAAGUGCUGAGGAUUUCCUGGUAGGGAGGAAUAUUGUGGGAGAUCAAGGUGGGAGAGAUGAAACAACCAGAGAUUUCUUAGGGCUAAGAGUACCCUCACAUGAGGAGCUUUUCAGCUUAUCAGGUAUGGAGACUUGCAUGGGCUCUUCAUCAUCCUUCGGGUAGCCAAGGAGAAUAUAUAUGAGCAGCCAUGACUACCAACCAGUGCUACAAGCUAGAGAUUUGAACAGUUCCAUCUUCUCCAAUAGGGGACUCAGAUAAGAGAGAGGCCUGUACGCACCUGCAGUAUGGGGAGCAUUUCCAUGCACAGUUAAAUUUCUCCCUACUCCAUUCUUAAUUAGUUGUAUUAAAGAUCAUCAUUAAUUUGACGUUAAUUACUGUACAUAUCGAUAGAUCUUUGCAAUGAGUUUACUGAGCUUUUUUUUUUUAAGUAUAUAUUAAGGUUUUCACGUGCAUGAACCUGACAAGGCAUAUGCAAUGAAAGGUUGAACAGAACGAGCUUGUGAUUUUAUGUUGGCUGUAUCUGAUUUAGCUUAGUUCGUCGUGGUCUAUGCCAUCUGCUGUAGCCUUUAGAGUUCAUAUAUGUAUAUAAUUGUCAGGGGAAUCAAAUGGCAGAAAGGUUUUAUUAAUUGCAUCAAUCUAGUCGACAGCUACCUCGAUGUUUAACCCAGUUUGUUGUUUGGUCAUCUACUGGUGGUUUGAUGUGUUGCUCAGUAUGAUGUUUGGUGCUCAAUUCAUGGUCUUUGUCUGUUCGGGACAAUGGUGUGGAGGUUAGUUUGGUUAUCUGUUGGUAGUUCUCUUGUGCUUUUGUGGCAAUAUUGAUGAGUUCUCUUUGGGCUCCAAAGUUGGCUGGAGCUUGAGCUUAUUCUUCGAUAAUUGUUGGUGCCUACAUAAGCUUAAAGUUGUUUUGUAUUUGGUUCAUUUUUUG